rnacentral:rRNA from 1 species
UCGGGAAUCUUGCACAAUGGGCGAAAGCCUGAUGCAGCAACGCCGUGUGAGCGAGGAAGGUCUUCGGAUCGUAAAGCUCUGUUGUUGGGGACGAAGGGCGAAGGGUUAAUAGCCCCUAGCCUGACGGUACCCUUCGAGGAAGCCCCGGCUAACUACGUGCCAGCAGCCGCGGUAAUACGUAGGGGGCGAGCGUUAUCCGGAAUUAUUGGGCGUAAAGCGUCCGUAGGCGGUUAAUUAAGUCAGUUGUUAAAGACUGCAGCUCAACUGUGGGAGAGGAACUGAAACUGAUUAACUAGAGUGCGAUAGGGGUAGAGGGAAUUCCCAGUGUAGCGGUGAAAUGCGUAGAUAUUGGGAAGAACACCAGUGGCGAAGGCGCUCUACUGGGUCGCAACUGACGCUGAGGGACGAAAGCUAGGGGAGCGAAAGGGAUUAGAUACCCCCGUAGUCC